UACGGAGGGUGCAAGCGUUAAUCGGAAUUACUGGGCGUAAAGCGCACGCAGGCGGCUUUUUAAGUCGGAUGUGAAAGCCCCGGGCUCAACCUGGGAAUUGCAUUCGAUACUGGGAAGCGAGAGUAUGUGAGAGGGGGGUAGAAGUACAAGUGGAGCGGUGAAAUGCGGAGAGCGUUGGAGGAAUACCAGUGGCGAAGGCGGCCCCCUGGCACACUACUGACGCUCAGGUGCGCAAUCGUGGGGAGCAAACAGGAUUAGAUACCCCCGUAGUCC
rnacentral:rRNA from 1 species